UUAAAUGGUUGCAGUAUAAUUAACUGUGCAAAGGUAGCAUAAUCAAUUGGUUUUUAAAUGAAAUCUGGAAUGAAAGGAUUAAUGAAAUAUAUACUGUCUCAUAUUUAUUUUAUAAAUUUAAAAUUUUAAUAAAAAUGUUAAAAUUUUUUUAUGGGACGAUAAGACCCUAUAGAAUUUUAUAUUAAAUUAAUUUUAUAAUUAAAUAUAAAAUUUAAUUUAAUAUUUAAUUGGGAGAAUUAUUAAAUUUAAUAAAUUUUAAUUAAUAUAAACUUUAAUUAAAGAAAAUUUAUUGAUUUUUUAUUAAAAAUUAUUAGAUUAAAUUACCUUAGGGAUAACAGCGUAAUAUUUUUUUAUAGAUCAUAUAGAAAAAAAUGAUUGCGACCUCGAUGUUGAAUUAAGAUAAAUUUUAAAUACAGAA
rnacentral:rRNA from 1 species